CCCCCAUUAGAUGCUCAGAUGACUUGUCCGUGACGGCCAGACAUCCAUACCAUUUUCUCAUGUGCCUCGCUGCUUACUGUAGCUGCACUGCUGCUAGCUGCAGGAGUGGCGCUGAUGUGAGAGCAGGCAGAGAGUGGAGGAGGAGGAAGAGGAGGAGGAGGGUGUAUGAGGGGGAUGCUGGUGUGAGGCAGGGCGGGGCAGCUAAGUGUCUGAGGCAGGAAGCUGCUCACGCACAUCACAGAGGACCACAGAAGCAGCCUAGAGAGAAGGACCUGAGGGUUUUCCCGCACGAUUCCCUGGCAAUACAUGAGAGUGGAAGGGGGCCAGGGUGGGGGGGGUGUCUUCCAGGCUGGGAAGGCUCAGCGAUGCCUUGAUGGAGUAUGGGCCAGGUUUUAGGAUUCUCCCACUGCCAGGAAUAUGGCUCAGUGGCCUCCACUCCUGAUUCGACACCCCCGUGCACCGACGGUGGUAAUGAAGAGUCAGAGCUGUACGAGCUGCAAACAGCGAGGGACUGCUCCGAGGAUGAAGAUGUUGUCUACGAUGAUGACGACACACUGGCCUCCUCCCCGUCAAUCUGGGGCACGCCGCGUCAGAACUCCCUCGAGCUGACCUUCUCCUACAUCGCCAUUGCCGAGCCCGAGGCCGUGGGGGCUUCACGCACCCACCGGGAGAGGCGCAGGGGUGGCUCGAGGGGAAGUCGCACCUCCCUGGUGCGUACGGACACCCCGGAGACGCCGCUGGACUCGCCCGACGUCGACUGGGACCCGCAAGGCUUCCUAAGUCGGGCGGAUGAGGAAGAGGGCCGAGUGGACGUGAGGACCACAAGCCCAAGAAGGAGCAGGCAAAAUGAGACCGUAACAACGCAGCCAUCAGCCCAAACUGCGGACAUUGAGACUCAGGAAGGCGAUGCAGUGAUCAUAAGUGAGGAGAGCAGUUUUAUCCAAACUUUAUCUCAACCACCAAUACUUCCUGCAGCAGCAGCAGCAUCGUCACCGACCCCAGAGCCUGAGUCACCCAUCAUCUUAGAGGAGCCCCUGCAACUGACUGAGCCCAACUCCAUGUCACCGGAUUCCGUUGCUCCAGAUACUCAGGAAAAGCUGCUGAACCAGCGGUGGUACUCAGCCCUUAACCCCUUAGACAGCGCCACAGUGUGCCCACCUAUAGCAGUCAUGGACCUGAUCUACUGGAAGGACAUGGAGCGAACGGGAAUGGUCCUGACGGGCAUCGUGGUGGGUCUCCUAUGCCUGUUCCAGCUCAGCAUCAUCACUGUGGUCUCCACGGUGUCUCUCGCCAUCGUGUGCGUCACCAUGUCAGUGCGCAUCUACUACAAAAUCCUCCAUGCCCUCAACUGGGGUGAUGGAGAACAUCCGUUCAAGUCAUACUUGGACAUGGACAUCAGUUUUAGCGGAGAGGAGACUGAGUUGCACAUGCAGAAAGUCAUUGUCACGACUCUGUGUGCUGUGGACUGUCUGAAAAGACUCUUCUUUGUCGGCAACCUCUUUGAAUCCCUGAAGUUGCUGGUCCUGAUAUAUCUUCUUACUUAUCUGGGAGAUCUGUGCAAUGGCCUCACACUCCUCAUCAUCGGCGUGAUCGCUCUCUUUUCUUUGCCGCUUUUCUACCGACGGCGUCAGGAGCAAGUGGAUGCUUUCAUUGCAAAGAUCCAGGCCCUCAUUGGCAAUGUCAAGGACUUGUGAGUACAGCGCCACCUUGUGGUAAUGAUGGAUAUAUGUCUCGAUACCUGAAUAGCUUCCGAAGACUGGCCCACGGCGGUGCCGUCCCGUCUGACCUGACCCCGGGUGGUGCCAAACCUAAAAUCCACUAAAGACUGAUGGAUGACGGGAUCACUAGGAGCUGCGGGCCGUCACUCCGAUUUCUUACCCAGCAAGCAGUCCCAGCUCCACAUGACUGAGCUGCUGCGUUCCGGAAGGAAGAUGGGACGUUUACUAUUGGAACUGUGUCUAAGUUAUUGGGUUUUUAGAGGGGUGAUUCUUAAUCAGGAUGGAUGAAAAAAAACUGUGUUUUUGUUCGUUUGGGUUUUUUUUUUCCAUAAGUGUCUGUUGAAAGCUGUCGUCCAAAUGAGGCUCCUGGCACCCCUUAUGGAAACUUAAUAUUGACCUGACAUCAUCAUUCGCAGCAGCAUCUCAUUGACAGUUUGGGUGCAUGAUAUUUUGUGAAUGCAAAUGCAUUGUAACAACUGUUUCAUGUGUGAAUGUGCGUACCUGUGUGCCUGUGAGUAAGGAAGUCACUCAAACAAGCAAUUAAAGUCACUUUUUGUCCUUUUCCAGACCUAACAUUUCCUGUUUUUCCUCCUGCCGUCAGCCUUUCCUCAAAAUCAGCUCAUCACAUUGUGCAUUACUGCCGUUUGACUGUCAAUUGUAGGCCAAGUUCACCAUUGGGUGGGGCAUCGCUUUGAUGGAAAGGAUGAGGAAGUGAAGGUGCCUUUCUAACUGCAGGAUCAAGUUCAGUCAGUAAUUAUUUUUUGCUUCUCCACACAAACAAAACACAUCCCUUGUUUACCUGCAUCUUGCCCUACAAAGGAUGAACUUUUGUACCUGUAUGAUGCCUUUGUGGUAACAUUACAAUGGUUGUCUUGUAAGUAAAAUCACUUUUAGAAAAAUAAAUUGGUCAGGGUGAUCUCCAACAUUU